UACGUAGGGGGCUAGCGUUGCUCGGAAUCACUGGGCGUAAAGGGUGCGUAGGCGGGUCUUUAAGUCAGGGGUGAAAUCCUGGAGCUCAACUCCAGAACUGCCUUUGAUACUGGCGAUCUCGAGUCCGGGAGAGGUGAGUGGAACUGCGAGUGUAGAGGUGAAAUUCGUAGAUAUUCGCAAGAACACCCGUGGCGAAAGCGGCGCGCUGGACCACUACUGACGCUGAGGAACGGAAAGCUAGGGGAGCAAACAGG
rnacentral:rRNA from 1 species